CGUGUAAUGUUAAUAUUGGACAUUUACUGACUGUUUUUCGUGUGUGUGUGUGUGUGUGCGCGUGUGUGCGCGCGUGUGUAUGUGUGUGCGUAGGCCUUACAGCAACUGUCGCCAGCUAUGUCAUUCACUCCAGCAGCAGCAGCAGAAAUGGAGAGUAUUGACAGACAAGUGGUAGAGCGGGCGCUUCAUCGUCAGUUUACAUGGAGAAAGACGUGGACUCACCGUGACCAUCUUCUCGCGCUGUUCCCCCGACAGGACAAUCGCCAGCGUUCAGGAUCGGGAUGAUGCCUCCUCCGCGCGGUGGUCGUCGGGUGGAGCUGUCAGGGUGGAGGAGCAUUCAGCGGCCUCACUGUCCGAGGAUGGUGCGCCUAAUUUGGUCACCCUGUGGCUGAUCUUCUCUUGUCGUCUUCUCGCUCCACUCCCUUGCCUCUCCUCCCCCUGACCCUCUCUCAGCUCCGAGCACCACAGUCAAGACUGAAGGGGAAGACAGACGCAUCACUUCCGGUUACCUUUUUCAAAAUUAAAGUGCCAAUCAUUUAAAUAAAACCCAAUAAUUUCAA